rnacentral:rRNA from 1 species
GGCUGUCGUCAGCUCGUGUCGUGAGAUGUUGGGUUAAGUCCCGUAAGCGAGCCGCAACCCUUGUCCUUAGUUACCCAGGCACGUAAUGGUGGGCACUCCUAAGGAGACUGCCGGUAGACAAACCGGAGGAAGGUGGGGAUGACGUCAAGUCAUCAUGGCCCUUACGGCCUGGGCUACACACGUGCUACAAUGGUCGGUACAGAGGGUUGCCAAGCCGCGAGGUGGAGCUAAUCCCAGAAAACCGAUCGUAGUCCGGAUCGCAGUCUGCAACNNGACUGCGUGAAGUCGGAAUCGCUAGUAAUCGCGAAUCAGAAUGUCGCGGUGAAUACGUUCCCGGGCCUUGUACACACCGCCCGUCACAC